UCCCGCCAUUGCUAUUGCUUAAAGCUUGUUCCAAGCUUGUUCCUGUUGAGGAUUGAUCUUGCUUGAGGUUGUUGAAGCUCUUCUAAACCUUAUACAAUCUCCCUUAGAUUGUGUAAGUCACUGAAUAGAGAUAUGAGGCUUAGGGAACCAAAACAAGGGUUGCACUCUAUUUAUAAUUUUUGUCCAUCACAAAAAUAUCUUAAGUGCAAUCAUAACUGCCACACUAUCUUUA
rnacentral:lncRNA from 1 species